AGAAAAGUUACAAAAAAUUGGUACGGUUCUAACACUGCUGAAACUCAACCUUUAAAAAAAAAUAAAGAUGUUGAUGACGAUGAGGUGUCUACCAGCAGCUCUCAGAACUACGAUAAUAAUAUAGUUAUCAAACAAUCAUUUUAUAAGAGAUUACAGCCUCCAUAUAAUGAUAUUACGAAGAAAAAGGCAGAAAAUUGGUGUGCAUUAAAAAAACAAGCAAUAGCUUUAAAGUUGCAAAGUUCAUUUGUAUCACUGUUAGUAACAAGAUGCACUUAUAAUGAAACUGGAAAAAAUGCUGAACCUUUAUUAAACAUACCUUGUUGUAUGUGUGAUACGGAUGACUCUAUAGAUCAAUUAAAACAGUGUCCGGAUUGUUCUUUUAUUCGGUAUUGCUGUGAGUGUUAGGAGCAUUAUCACCAAAAACUUUCUCUUUUUCAUAAAGCUCGUGUUUGGUGUUCACAGGUUGGGUAUUUUAAGCAAUAAAACUGUGCAAUGCGAGUCAUCAAGUCCUCUUCUUGUAAAUGUGUAAAUUUUUUGAACAAAGAAUUGAUUGUCUU